GCCUGAGUAGCAUAGUCGUUAUUGCGUUUCGCUUGUAUUGCCCCUUCCCAGUCCAACGAAAAGGUCGCGAGUUCAAAUCUCGUCUUAGGCU
rfam:Naematelia encephala strain 68-887.2 BCR39scaffold_128, whole genome shotgun sequence.